CUUUAUUUGCCUAAAGCAAUCUAUAGAUUGGGGAAACACAGCCUUUGGGACAAAGUGAAAGUGUGCUCCAAGAAGAGGUUGGAGAGUCGGAGAUUAUAAAGGCAAAAAACUGCAAGGCCAUGAAGGGGGAUCUGGGGAGCUUGUAUCUGCUUCCUGUUCCUGUGAGCAUUGUAUCAGCAAUGCUUUUCACCCAGGCAGAGGCACCUGAAUCCAAUUUGCAGUUUCCUUCUCACUUGCAGAACUGACUUCAAGGGACUCCUUCGGGGACACCAGAACCAGCCAGCUGACACCUCCUCUUCAGAAGUCUGAGUCCCAGGCCCACUGAUCGCUCUUCCAAGCUUCCAGGCCACAAUAAUGCCAACUGUUUCCCUUUGUUUCCUGACUCGGGGUGGUCAUUGUUCCCCACAGUUUCUACUUCCAUGAUAACUUUGAUGCUUUUGUGGUUCACAGCUUUAGAUCUGGUUAACAAUUCUUAAACACAUAAUAAAUUAAUUUUGCUGAAAAACUUAAGUUAAUUAUUAAGUGUUUCUUGUAAUAAACAGAAUAUUAAUGGUAUUAGGGACUCAGCUCCACUGAUUAUAAUAGAUACUGCAAACCUAACAUUAUAGAAAAAAAAGAGAACCUUUCAACAAAUCAUUUUACUUUUUUGUUUUAAAAAAAGCUUUACAUUGAAAGGACAGAACAAAUAAUGAAUAAAAUAAUUCAGCCUAACUGAAUGAGGAAAUAAAAGAAACUCAAGAUAUUUUAGGUAAGAAUAGGAUAGGGCAAAAAGGAAAAAAUGGAAAAUAUAGACUUUUACCACUAAGGUAGAAGACAUCAUAUUAAACAUCAUGUAUGAAGGCAGUAAGUGUUGGCAUGAGUUUAGUAAAAAAAAUGUUAAGCCAAACUACCUUGAUUGCCUUUCACCCCAAAUUAAAGAAUAUGUACAAUUUGUAAACACACAUACACACACACACAUCAAAAACUCGAAAGUGAAAAGUCAGGACAAUGUCAAAUAUACCACAUAAAUUAUCAAACAAGUUAACUUGAGAAAGCCUCUGCUGAUAUCCUUGUGAAUAAAAUGGAAUAAUGAAGUGAAUUAUUGUAUAGUCAGGUGGAUGUGUG
rnacentral:lncRNA from 10 species